rnacentral:rRNA from 1 species
UACGGAGGGUGCAAGCGUUAUCCGGAUUCACUGGGUUUAAAGGGUGCGUAGGCGGCUUUAUAAGUCAUUGGUGAAAGCUCGCAGCUUAACUGUGAAACUGCCAUUGAAACUGUUUAGCUUGAAUGUGGUUGAAGUGGGCGGAAUAUAACAUGUAGCGGUGAAAUGCUUAGAUAUGUUAUAGAACACCGAUUGCGAAGGCAGCUCACCAAGCCAAUUAUUGACGCUGAGGCACGAAAGCGUGGGUAGCGAACAGG